GAUGAACGCUGACAGAAUGCUUAACACAUGCAAGUCGAUGGGGAAGUGGUGCUUGCACCAUGGCAACCAUGGCGGACGGGUGAGUAACGCGUAAGGGACUUACCUGCAGGACUGGGAUAACAGGGGGAAACUCCUGACAAGACCGGAUAAUGUCAUGGAGCUGCAUGGCUUUAUGAUGAAAGGAGACGCCUGCGGAGAGCCUUGCGUCCUAUUAGCUAGUUGGUGAGGUAAUGGCUCACCAAGGCGAAGAUAGGUAGCCGGCCUGAGAGGGUGGACGGCCACAAGGGGACUGAGAUACGGCCCUUACUCCUACGGGAGGCAGCAGUGGGGAAUAUUGGACAAUGGGGGGAACCCUGAUCCAGCAAUUCUGUGUGCACGAAGAAGGUUUUCGGAUUGUAAAGUGCUUUCAGCAGGGAAGAAGUAAGUGACGGUACCUGCAGAAGAAGCGACGGCUAAAUACGUG
rnacentral:rRNA from 1 species